AUGCCAUGAUGAACCCAAUUCAACACAUCAUUCUUACUGUGAAGUGAAGAAACCUGAUCCCUGAGCAUA